rnacentral:rRNA from 1 species
CACCGGCGGCUCGAGUGGUAACCGUUAUUAUUGGGUCUAAAGGGUCUGUAGCCGGCCGGAUAAGUCUCUUGGGAAAUCUGGCAGCUCAACUGUCAGGCUUUCAGGAGAUACUGUCUGGCUCGAGGCCGGGAGAGGUGAGAGGUACUUCAGGGGUAGGGGUGAAAUCUUGUAAUCCUUGAAGGACCACCAGUGGCGAAGGCGUCUCACCAGAACGGACCUGACGGCAAGGGACGAAAGCUAGGGGCACGAACCGG